UACGUAGGGUGCAAGCGUUAUCCGGAAUUAUUGGGCGUAAAGAGCUCGUAGGCGGUUUGUCGCGUCUGCUGUGAAAACUGGAGGCUCAACCUCCAGCCUGCAGUGGGUACGGGCAGACUAGAGUGCGGUAGGGGAGAUUGGAAUUCCUGGUGUAGCGGUGGAAUGCGCAGAUAUCAGGAGGAACACCGAUGGCGAAAGGCAGAUCUCUGGGCCGUAACUGACGCUGAGGAGCGAAAAGCAUGGGGGAGCGAACAGG
rnacentral:rRNA from 1 species